CGGGGAUGCUCUAAGGGCCAAAACUACUCGUCCGACACCUCCUUCCCCAUCUAAAAAAGACCUUCUUGCCCGUCUUCCUCCAAGCUAGGGUUUCCUCUGCUGACCUCCGUCGUGCUUCCGGCCGCUACUUGCAUCUCUCCGCCCUCCAAUCAUUCCACUCCUCUAGCCUAUGAGAUAUGGCGAGCACAGCAUGCUUUGUGAUUGUCAGUAAGAAUGAUAUCCCAAUCUAUGAUGCUGAAGUUGGAUCCGCUCCAAAAAAAGAAGAUCAGGCUUAUCAGCAUCAGUUCAUUUUGCAUGCUGCAUUAGAUGUUGUUCAGGACCUUGCAUGGGCCACAAGUGCAAUGUUUCUGAAGUCAGUAGAUAGAUUCAAUGAUCUUGUGGUGUCUGUUUAUGUAACUGCUGGUCAUACUAGAUUUAUGUUGCUUCAUGACUCACGGAGUGAAGAUUGUAUAAAAAGCUUCUUUCAGGAAGUUCACGAACUUUACAUCAAGAUAUUCCUUAAUCCACUCUACUUACCUGGUUCUCGUAUCACAUCCUCCCAUUUCAACACCAAGGUCAGGGCUCUUGCAAGGAAAUACCUGUAGCAGUGUAGCAUACGCUCAGGUGGAAGACCUUGUGAGCUCCACAUAAGUGAUUUGUUUCGGUGACCCUCUCUUUGAUCUGCCUACUUCCGACUAUUCAAUGGCCAAUAGAUCCCGAAAAUGAGCUAGUACUAUGAUGUACCAAAAUGCUGCUGAAUGGAGAGCUUUCUUUGCUUAUUUCUGAGGUAUUUCCCCUUGGCCUGCUGUAUGUUUAUUGUGCGUGGCAAAUUUAUAGAAAGACCUUGCCCCCUGCCAGCGUUUCAGCUAUAUGUUUAUCUCCUUGCUCCUGUCCUGUGCUGUUGUCUAAGAUACUCGAAUGUCCUGUGAAAUUUACGUUGGACAUCGAUACUGCACCAUUAUAUCUGUAGCCAUGGCAGUGAAAGGAGAUGGUGCCGCAGUAUCAUCACGAGCUGUAUGAAGCAUGGAACCACGCAGCGGCAUUAAUAUUUCAGGACACUGCAACUGACCAGCUGGUAGUAGUACUGUAGCUCCACUAAAAGGACCCCUGCAGAAUCUCCGGAGAAAGGUCUUCGGUCAUCAGAUGAAUUCUAUUCCUAAAUGAAUCUGCAGUUAUCACUUGGGAUUGUACAAGGAAGAGCUGUCACUUGGCUGGAACCUCUUUUUUUUUGGAGAACUUUUUUGUUUCGUGAAGACAAGACUUUGGUUGUGAUCAUUUAACACAAACGGGUGUUAUGUGCCAUGAAAUUUACGUCACCACAUUUGUUUCCGA
rnacentral:rRNA from 1 species